rnacentral:misc_RNA from 1 species
GAUGAAGAACGCAGCGAAAUGCGAUAAGUAAUGUGAAUCGCAGAAUUCAGUGAAUCAUCGAAUCUUUGAACGCACAUUGCGCCCGCCAGUAUUCUGGCGGGCAUGCCUGUUCGAGCGUCAUUUCAACCAUCAAGCCCCCGGCUUGUGUUGGGGACCUGCGGCUGCCGCAGGCCCUGAAAACCAGUGGCGGGCUCGCUGUCACACCGAGCGUAGUAGAUUUUCAUCUCGCUCAGGGCGUGCUGCGGGUUCCGGCCGUAAAAAGCCUUAUUUACCCAAGGUUGACCUCGGAUCAGGUAGGAAGACCCGCUGAACUUAAGCAUAUCAAUAAGCGGAGGA